rnacentral:rRNA from 1 species
UACGUAGACCUCAAGCGUUAUCCGGAUUUAUUGGGCGUAAAGCGCAUGUAGGAGGUUUUGCGCGUCUCCUUUUAAAGCCCACCGCCUAACGGUGGAAGUGGAGGGGAUACGGCAUGACUAGAGGAGGUUAGAGGUGCAUGGAACGCACGGUGUAGGGGUGAAAUCCGUUGAUAUCGUGCGGAACACCAAAGGCGAAGGCAGUGCACUGGGACCUUCCUGACUCUGAGAUGCGAAAGCGUGGGGAGCAAAAAGG